CGAGCCGGGCGGACGGCCGCGUGGAGGUCCUUGUGGACCUUCCCGAGGAACGUCCGGGCUCCACAGGGCAAGGUGGUGGCUAACGGCCACCCGGGGUGACCCGCGGGACAGUGCCACAGAAAACAGACCGCCUUGGGCCUCGGUCCUCGGUAAGGGUGAAACGGUGGUGUAAGAGACCACCAGCGCCUGAGGUGACUCAGGCGGCUAGGUAAACCCCACCUGGAGCAAGGUCAAAAGGAAACACCUCGGUGUUUCUGCGCGGACGAUCGAGGGCUGCCCGCCCGAGUCCGCGGGUAGACCGCACGAGACCGGCGGCAACGCCGGUCCUAGAUGGAUGGCCGUCUCCCCGGCCGCCGCGAGGCGACCGGGCGACAGAACCCGGCGUACAGCCCGACUCGUCUG
rnacentral:RNase_P_RNA from 2 species